UUAGAAUGAGCUUUCGUGUGCAUGCACACUUCUUCAGAUACACUGAAACAGAAGUGAAACAGGUGCCCACUCUCAGCACUUUUGGAAGGGGAAAUCUAAAUACAGUGGUACCUCGGGUUACAGAUGCUUCAGGUUACAGACGCUUCAGGUUACAGACUCCACUAACCAAGAAAUAGUACCUCAGGUUAAGAACUUUGCUUCAGGAUGAGAACAGAAAUCGCAUGGUGGUGGCACGGCAGCGGCGGCGGGAGGCCCCAUUAGCUAAAGUGGUACCUCAGGUUAAGAACAGUUUCAGGUUGAGAACGGACUUCCAGAAUGAAUUAAGAUUUUAACCCGAGGUACCACUGUAUACCCAGCAUUCAGAGAUAUGGCAUUUAAUAUAAUUUGUUUACAUUGGUCUCAUGAACUUAACCCUCCAGCCCCAUACAGGGUUAUAACUCUUUUUGCUAGCCAGCUGUUAAGAAAUGUAAAAGAGGCCAAAAAAUGGGUGCUUGACUUCCUUUAUAUCACUUGCUUUGGCAGGGGAAGUUUGGAAAAUUUUGGAAUUUUGUUGGUAUAAAUCAAAACUGAAUUAGGAACCUUCAUUUUCCGUGUAAACAACUACCUUCCCUUUACUAAUAGUCUGCCACCAAGAUUUGGUCAGAUUUGACAUCCCCACUGCAGCAAAUCAGUCAUAAAUUCCCAACACAGCAUUUAUAUUUCUUUGUGGGGAUUUUAAAGCCUGAACUGAGGCAACUGCUGAGGGUCUCUUGCUACUUUUAGGCUUAGACUUUGAAUAUAUUUUCCUGAUGUCUCAUUGUUCUUUGGACAAUAUAACGUACAGGGCCUGAAAUGGCUGGAAUUUGUAUUCUAGUGUAAUGUAUUUAUGUUUCAUGGGAGUCUUGUAGACAUUUCUAUGGGGUCAGUAUACUAACAUACAACACCCCAUAUAGUUUGGGACCAGGUAACCUGAGAGGCCACCUUGCUCCUUAUAUGCUCAGAAGGUCUCUGUGUUCUUCCAGGGAGACUCUCCUUGAAGGCACUAAAAUAUCAGAAGCUGUCUCCACAGCAACUCAGGCAAAGACUUUCAGUGUGGCUGCCUCUGUUUUGUGGAACGGCAUCCCUGUUGAGAUAUGACAGGCUUUGACUAUUUGAAGUUUCUGGAAACAAUUGAAGACAUUUUUGUUUCAACAUUUUUCCAUCUGAAGGAGGAAGUGAGGGGGAUAAAGAUCUCUGCCUCGAGAGUUUAUUUGUAUUGUUUUAAUGUUAUUUUUAGUUUUUAUUAUGUGGUGGUUAAUCAACUAGAGACCUAGGUGACCUUAUUACAGUGAUAGCUAGAUAGCUAGAUAGAUCGAAUUGCAAUAGAAAAUCAACCUUUAAUCCAAUUUAUGAAUUUCAAACAGAAAAUAUGCCAGUGAAGGCUAAAUUUGUUGUGGCUAUGUCAGCUUUUUCUCCAUGAUCAACUGCUAAUUUCCGAGUUUUCAGAUAUUGCUGGAAAUAUAUGUUUCUGGGAUGGUCCUGGGCAGAAAGCCAGCAUUUAGAAGAGUCUUGCCGCAGAAGAGCAAGAAGUCCGUGCUAGUCCAGCAUGCUGCUUCUCAAAGUAGCCAAGUUAGAAAAUCCUAGGUGGGCUUGAAGGCAGAAGCUCUCCUUUUGCUAUCUGCCCCCAAUUUUUGAUACUUAGGAUAUAUGCUGUGUCUGAAGAGGGAGGUUUAAUUUAGCUGUCAUGUCUAAUAGCCUUUGAUAGGCUUGUUAUCUUGCGAAUCCAUCCAGUCCUUCUGAAACAGAGAAGGGAAACCUGCUGUGCUUCUUCAGAUGUUUCUGGAUUCAAACUCCCAGUAAUCCAAGCAGACAGCAUGACCAAUGGUUAUAGAUAAUGGGAGUCUACCAUGAUUUAGUACCAUUUUGGUUUAGGUUCAGGUUUCAGAAGCAAAUCAGCUUUUGUCAUCCUGAAGGAUGAAAUUUGUAUGGGAAGAGACCAGGGGUGAGUGACCAUGUUACUUUUUGUCAACCUCACAAUGGCUUUUGAUACCCUCAGUCAUGGUAUACCUCCGGACAGCCUCUCUCGGGUGGAUUUUGGAGGCACUCUUUUGCAGUAGCUCCAAUCCUGCCUAUGGGGUUGGGUCCAGAGGGCAGCAUUAUUGAGUGUGUGCCUCUUGGCCCAAUGGCAUUUGUGUCAUGGGGUAUAACAGGAUGAGAUGUAACAUUUAUAUGAAGGCACUGGGAGUGGUCAUUAGGAGUUUGGGGACAAGGUAUAACAAGUAUGCUGAUUACACAGAGCUCUUAUUUCCCCAUUACAUCAGAGUGAGAUUAGACCAUGCAGCAUCUGGGCUGGUGCCUAGAUGCAGAGGACUGCUUGAUGAUGGCCAGCAAUUAAAAUUACAUAGCUUGGCUAGAGGGAAACACUGUGAAUGAGUGGUUCUCAUGUUGGGGGAUAGGUUAGAUGCCUUUUCUGGACAGGGUUGCACUCUGAUUGAAAGAGCAAGUAUGCAAUCUGUGUCUACUUCUGCAUCUGACUUUGCUCCUUGUGGCUUGGACUGCCUUCAGCUGGUGAGCCAGCUGUGACUGUUGCCGGUGGUUCAUGCACUGGCAGUCUCAAGACAGAGUGCUAUAAUGCAGAAAAAACUCUUAAGUGCUGGCUGCCAUCAACAUAUAACAACUGUGUUGAGGGACUGCUCUGGCUGCCAGCACACUACCAAGCUCUAAACAACCUGGGAUCAGUAUAUUUUUAAAAGAUCACCUUAUUCUGAACAGCUUUUGCAUAGUGCCACUGAGGCAUGUCUGAUCAUGCCCGGCAGCCUCUGGCUAUCCUGAACAAGAAAUGGUCUGCUUAGUGCAGUGACACUGGUGUUAUGGAACUCUUUACCUGAUGGAAUCAAGCUGGGGCUGUCGGUAAUGAGUUUUACACAUCAAGUUGAGGUUGGGUUAUUUCAACAAGGCUUUUUAUGAAAACAGAUUUACUGUUUUUAUAAUCUGCUUGGCAGAUGACCAUUCAGUACUUCUGUUUCUUUGGUGUAUUUUUGCUGUGAUGUUGCUUGCUGUGUUCUUUUUCAUUUUCGCUGAGAUCUUGCACGUUGCAUAAAUAUAUAUUUUAUAUGAGCUUGCCGAACAGAAAUACAAUCCUCUUUUUUUCCUCCUCCUCCUCCUCCUCCUCCUCCUCCACAUCUGGUGGGCCACAAGUUCCCCAUCCUUCUUUUGCUGUUGAUAGCAUCUAUUUAUUAUAUUAACUAUAUUCAUAGGCCGUUGAACAUCUAAAAAUCUUUAAGUGGUGUACAAAUGGAUAUAAGGCAUGCAAUGGCUGCCAGCAAAUUAAAUCAGCUUAGAAUACAGUUCAAACUUUGCUGUGAUCAGAUACAGUAAAAUGCAUGACCAACAGCUGUUCUAGGAAAGAUGGGGCAAGGGGAACAUGGUAUUUAGCAUGCACCAAGUGUUAAAGCCUAGUAGCAACCACUAUAUCAUGGGGCAGUGAAUUCUAUAAGUGUUGUGUUGUGUUAAAUGCUUCCAUUUAAAAUCCAUGCUCAGGCAAUGCCUUUAUUAGGACUAAUCAAAAUGUUGCAAAAUAGCAAGCAAAACAUUGCAAAAUAGUGAGAAUAUGUUGAAGGACCGUAGCUCUGAGGCAAAGGGCCUGCUUUGCAUGCAGAGAGUCCCCAAUUCAAGCCCUGAUGGGACUAGCAGGGAAUAUCCCAUUUGAAAUCUCAGUGAGUCACUGCCCAUCAGAGUAGACAAUACUGAGCUAGAUGGACCAGUGAUCUGAGUCACUGAGAUGCCUAUGUUCCUGCUAAGCAAAUGUUAAGGAUAAGAUGGGGGAAGAAUGCUGGUUUGAAACCCAAACCAAAAAGUCUGAAUUGAGUCAAUGUCUCAAGGUGGAGUGUGGGAGAAAAUGGCAGGUUUAGGGUGCAACUCUGUGGGUCCCUGAGAGGGCAUCUCAGCAUACAUUGGAUGUUGUAGACCUCUCCUGAAGGCCCCCCCUGCCCCUUAGUGGGUUGUGGCUUUUUUCUUUCUUUUUUCGUUCUUGGUUCAGUGAUGUUGCCUGCUUUUAUUUUGUGUAUGUUCUAUUUGUGUCGGGGUGUGUAUAGGUGUUCUACCUGGGUGCUUCUUGGCGGGGGCGGGGGGAGAUUUGAGCAUUUACUGUUUUUCUUCUGUGAAAUGAGUAUUUGCUGGUGCCAACCACAUAUUUUUUCAGAUAUCCAGUUGAGCCCCUGGACCCCCAAAAGGUUGAGGAUCCCAUCACUAAAGUAUUCCUUUGGAGAGACUAUGACAAUCAAAACGAGCUCAACAUUGUAUUGCAGGCACUGGAUAAUUGCUAAUUUCAACAUCUUCUUUGCAAUUAGGUUAUCUGAUUCAUCUGAAUUAAUUGCUGACAAAACAAAUUUCUGAACAUUCUGGUUGUUUCUGUGUUGUUUUGAUACCCUUCUGUUUCCCUGGCUGCUGCUGCUACUUCCUGACAUUAUUUUUCUUCUUCACCUUUACUGCCGUUGGCCUCAUUAGCCUUCACUGUGCCUUCAUUUGCCCUCAGUUUCAUCAACAGGGCAAUCCUAGAUGUCUACUGAGAAAUAAACUCCAUUGAGCUCAAGGCAGCAUACUGACAGGGGACCUUCUUCCCACAAGCAGCAGCCCUCCCUGCUCCAGCCAAAUGGCAAACCCAAUAGGACCAGCAGCAGCAGAAUGAAGGAUCCUUCGGCAAUAGCUUAUGUUUGCAGAUGUUUGUUACUAAAGCACCAGAACAAAAUAACAUUGUGGCAAUUUUAUGUACCCCCUGCCCCCAGACUGCUUUUCUGCAGUGCUUUAUACCAAAGGGUACAUUGAAGUAGAGGGGAAAUGAAGACAGAAAUGAACGGAAGGAACGGAAGCCUGAGCUGAAUUGUGCAUAGGGCACUCUGGACAACACUGGGAAAUCAUCAUUAAACUCUUCUUUAUACAGCACAUAUUCUAUAGUAAUGGCCGGUACCUUGUAUAGCUUUAAAAUUUUAGACCAAUACAUGGUGACUAUGCUCUGCCUUGAUGGCUGGAGGCAGUAAUGCUAGAAAUUGCAGUAGUGUGGUUGCAGAAACUGCCAAUUGCUAGAAAUUGCAAGGGUGCUCAGCAGGAGGAGAGAGGGUUUAAAUCCUACUUGUAAGUUUCUCACAGAAAGCUGGUUG